GCUGCAUAGACGAAUGGUUCGAAGUAAAUAGGUCUUGCCCUGAGCACCCUUCAGAUUAAGCAUCAGAUUCCUGGUUUAGAGAUGCUUGAAAAACCUAGAGGAUAUGAAGAGCGGUCUCUGGAACAACAAAAAUGCAGGCAUACCCAGCCAGAAACCGGAGUUGUGUGAGAGUCCCAAAUACGGAGAUGGACGAUCAUGCAGGGUGACAAAAAUCCUCCGGAGAAGAGGACAGUUAGCACAGAUCUCAGUGUACCAAACAUGCGUAUAAAGGACACACACAGGGAUUUUGAAAAUGCUGCACAUCCCUCAGUAGUCAUCUACAUAGGUAAUACUGAUAAACAUUUUAUAUUCAGAUGCCAAAGUUAACUGAUUUAAAAGUUGAUUUACUUUUUAUUAAGUUCUCUAGAGCUGCACAACUAGUUAUGUUUUGAUUUGUAUUUUUCGUUUGGGGUCUAUUAUUUGCAUCCAUCUCUUAUGAAAUUAAAAACCCACAUGACUUGCUUCUUAUAAAUCAAAGUCUGAAGUGUAAUGGAGCAGUAAAACCUUCUCUGAAUGCAGACCAGGCUCUAAGCUCUUCCGUCUCCCUCCCCAAGCCCCACCCGACCCCGAGUAGAAAACAGAUUCUACAAAGGAAAGCUGAACUGCGUUACUAUUUACAAUGAAAGGUAUUUAACAUUAUCAGAAUGCAGUCCAAAGAGUAAAUCAAGUUACAUAAUUGCAUUUUAGUUAACAAAAUAUUUACCUGCCUACUCAAUUUCAGUUUAUUAAAUGCAUUAUUUCCUCUUAACUAAAACUGCUCAACAAUUAAUCAGCAGUGAGUCACCUUGCAGCUUUUGGAAAAAUACCAAUUUUAAGUGAUGCCAGCUAUAACAACUUUGUUUUAACGGGUAUUUUGUUGUUGUUGUUGUUGUUGUUUAUUCUUUUCAUGUAAUUAUUUUACUGUGCUUAGCAUCUCCAAGCAAUUUUCCACAUUUGGGUAAAAUAUUUAGAAGGUUCUAAACUUAAUAACUUAUGAAGAAAAAAGUAAAAUAAAAAUUUUCUGGAGUGGAACUUGGGAUCAUUUAAGGGAUAUUUUAUAUACUUUUAGAAAUCACAAUUUAAUUGGGAUGCCAGAUUUAUAGCAAUUUGCAUCUUUAAUUUUCCAGAUAAUCUGGAAGUUAGCAUUUGAUAAAUGAUUUUUUAAAGCAAAGAUGAAGAUUUUUUUAAUUUAUAAUUUAUUAAUAAGUUGUUACUGUAAUUAAAAAUGUUACUCUCUUGUGACUUCUAAAUUCAGUCUUGUGUAGAAAGAAAUGUAUUGAGCGAAAUUAUGUGAAUAAAUAUUUCCAUAAGAUACAUCUGAAUGGUUCAAAACAAACUGGAAGAGAGCUGUCAAGGCUACAGUAGUGAAUGUCAUUGUACUUUCUCUUUUUUUGUAGUGUCAAAAAUACCUACACAUAAACUUUGCGUUUUCGACAUGAGGGAAAAUGUUAGCAGUGGUUGCAUAUCUAGGUGUAGCACUCUUGACAGAGCAUGACUGAAAGUUGCGCAAUACUGGUGUUUUUGUUUUUUGCUUUAGCUUUCCUUCGCGUCCUUAGCUAUUUCCUUCCUACUGAGAGCUGCUACUCUUCUUCCUUGUCCUCCAGGCUUGCCCCCUCUCUUGCUCCUGUCUCAGAUUGUGGAACUGAGGAAAAACGUGUGCUAUUUUAAAUGAUGAAAAGUGCUUUUAAUUGAUGUCUGUGCCGUUCUAGGCCAGGUAACAUUUUCCCUCAAGUUAUGCUGUGAAUGCCUUUUGUUAUGCUGCAAUUGAUAAAAGAAUAAAAGGAUUCAAAACCUCCAUUGGAACAUCUGACAGCACAAGCACAGUUUCAUAGGUGCUUUCUUUAAAAAAGUAGAGAAAAUAUUCUUCCCUGCAUACUUUCCCCCUGCUACCAUGGACUCUUCGUUUGAAUUCCUUUUCAUCUAAUGUUGGGAUUUACAAGAUUUCCCCUCUGAAGAAACCCCUCCUACAAUGUGACGACUUCGCUUCUUUUCUAAUCCUGCUGUAUUGUGCUCAAAGGAAACAAUGUUUUAGAGCUGUGGUAGCCAACAGCUCAGAUUCUCCUGGAAGUUGCUUUUCUGCACUUUUCUGUACUUCUUAGCACUGACUUAGUUCACUCACUCAUCUUUAUUCCGUGCCAUACUCACACCAUCCUGUGGACUUGGCCUCAGUUGAUCGCAGGUUCUGUGCUGCUGCUGCAGUGGACACUCGGCGGUUUUUAAAACGUUCCUGUUUGUCAGUAUCAAGUGCUCCUUGACCAUUUACCUUUAUCUAGAACAGUGUUUAUUUAAAUCUGUCUUUAGCGAGUCCUUUUUUGUCCUUGUUCCAAUAUAUGAAAGUUAGUGUUUUCACUGUUAAGUUCUGUCUCCAUCAAUGAUUUGCACGAGAAUAAUUUGGAUAUAGAACAGGUUUACAAAGACCAGCUGCUCCAGUUUUUAUUCAGAAUCAAAGCUGCUGUUCUGGAAAAUAUUUUAAGUAAUUCUACAUAAUAUCACUUAGAAUACUUAUAAGCCUCUGUACGACAUAAAAUCACGCUAGAUGUGGCUGAAAAUUACGGGCAACUAACUAUUGUGGAGAUGAAAUGAAGGUUCAAAGGCUAGAUUAUCAUGUUGAUUGUAGCUUCUAGGACCCUUGCAGACAGAAACUCGUUUUGCAGAUCACAUCGUACUUGCGUAUGUGGAGAAAGCCCUGUGUUCCACGAUUUCCCUUGACUGCCACUCUGUGCAUAAUGGAUCGGAUUGAAUGCCAGUUUAAACUCUGUCGUAUUUUGAUCGGGCCCUUCCCUCCCUGCCUCAACCCCACGCACUCUAAAACGUUUUAAGAGAAGUUAAACACCCUAGUUUUGACUCUUUGCCAGAAAAAAAAGACUGAGCAUAGUUUAAUAUGUGUUUUGUUUUUUUUUUCAGAUUAGGCUAUAAGUCUGAUGAUAGAUCAUAUUUUAAAAGCAGUGUUUGUGAUGGAAACAGAAAUAAUGGUUCCCAUAAUGGUUUUUGGCGUGUGUCUGAGCCAAACCAUUAAAAAAAGAAAAGAAAAUGUAACUGUUGAAUGAUCCGUAGCUUUGGCUUCUUACUGGAACUGAAACUUCUUUGAAAUGUUACGCAGUUAUUUCCAUUGUCACCCACGGGACACGUCACUGGAGUGUUACUCAGAGAGCGAGCCUGUGGUGUCUUCUCUGCAUGGCUGCAGUAUGAAUCUCAAAGGAGUCCCGUGUGCAGGACGUGUGGAAGAUAGCAGGCUACUUUUUCUGAACUUAUUUGAUUCACAGCCUUGUUCGUAAGUUUUUAGUAUAAUAAGUUUUAAUAGCAGUCACUCCAAUUAAUAUAUUUUAGCAAGGUACAACAUGAGGAUAUUUCUUUAAAGAAAAAGAUGGCAAAUUUAUGUAAACAUGACCUACAUUUAUUUACACGUUUGGAGAGUGACAAUUUCCUAACAACAAGCUACAUUUAAACAAAGCAUGAAACUUUAGUUUUUUGUUUUGUUUUUAAUAAAGAAUAAUUGAUUUUACUAUCUGCUACCAUUGAAUUCACAUCUGUACUAUACAUUGAUUAAAAACUAUCCAAAUCAUCUAUUUCACAGGAGAAGUUUCCAUAUAAAUGAGAUGAUCCAGAACUAUAGGUAAAACUACAUAGAGGUAAAUGGUGUAUGACUCCAGUGUAUUCAGUUGCUGGAAGUCUUGUACUUCAUUUGGGCCAUGUUCUUGAAAGUUGAUUUAUCCUGAGGACAAUGCUGUGUGAUUGUGAAGUAUCUAUUCUUGGAUAGAUGUUUCUUAGUUAAAAAUCCUAGCAUGCUAGUAUUUUAUGUUUGGCCCCUUUCCUUUUCUUCUGAAGUAUGUAAUUUCUGAACUGUUCCAAUACCAUGUUGUGCCUAACGGUAGUUAGCAAUCUGUUUUACCAUCCACUUUUCCUUACCCAGAUCUUAUUCUGAAGCUAAAUUGUGGCUGGGUUUUCUUUAAAAGAACUUGCUACUUGGUAUAUUCUUACUAUUAUAUAUUCCUCUUAUUCAGGAACUGGGAAAACUUUCUUCGGUAUUAAGUUUCUCAAACAGUUCUCUUGGAUACCAUAGUCUCUGUGAAUUCUGUGCUUAAGCUAAAAAAGGGAGUGUUUUGUUUUAAGCCACAGAAUUCCUGUAUUGAAUAACAGAUACCUGGUCGUCUACACUCUGCAGAAAGUGAAAGGCCUGCAGCAUUGCAGAAAACCAGAUAUGUUAAUACUUAAUUUCAGUUGAAAGUGCCGUAUUACUGUACAUAGGAUGUCGGUAUAUUUUCAGAUGACAUAAGCCAUUGUUAAUUUGAGACUGAUAGUAAAUAGUUUUGACCGCUCGCUUAUAGAGGGGCAAAGAACAACAUGGCAUAAACAUACCCGGAAAUAAUUUGGGGUGGGGGAAUCAAGUGCUGCUGUAGAACCCACUGGCCAACCUUGUGUUUCUUAGCUCUGCUGCCCUGAAACUGAGGCACCUGUCAGGCUCCCAGGUCAUGGAGCCAGGGCAACAAAGUUUUCCUUUGAAAGAAAGCAUGAGAAUAUCUUUCUGAUUCGGGAUGUUGACUCUUGACAGGUACUGAUGUUUGGUAACACACAGUGUUCUCUGUGUCCCGAUACCAGUGAACCCGGUUAAAAGCUUGCACUACUAGUCGAUGGUGUGAUAAGCAGCUGGGUGCAAGUAAGAGAGCAGCACCCCUGGAGAGAGAUACAGAGGAGAUCAUGGAAUCUGAUGGUAUUGAUCUAUUUUACAGCAACUCAUUACACUGAAUGAAUUUCUUUGCAAUGACUUUUAUAUGAAUUUUAUUAUUUGAAAAUCAUGAUAAUGAUAGAUAUUUACCUUCUAGUGUGUACAUGAUUUUACAACUCUUCUGUAAUACCUCUCAUUAUCCUGUUAUUCUCCUGUUAAAUAAGGUUUCAAAAGCGUCAAUCAUAAGUAAUAUAGACAAUGUGAUAGAAACAACUUGUAUUGGUAUGUUCUCAAUGAAAGUGGAGCAAUUCAUUAUUGAUACUUUAAUAAAUCUUCCAAAUGAUUUUGCCAAAUAAUCCCAUUGAUUUGUAAGUAGAAGACAGGAAACUUGUCAUAUUUAUUCUUUUACCUGAAAGCUAGCAAUAUAUGAUAAUAAAGAGAAAAGCCUGCAUGCUGAAAAGUAACCAUGAAGUCACCGAGGUUACAUAGAGCUGCUGUAUCUCCUCUAGCAUACUCAUUUACCCCAAAAUUGGGUGAUGGAAAAUGUUGGUUAAGAUGCUAUGAUAGCCUACGAGCUGACUUACAGUGGGAAUAGAGAAUCUUUUUUUUUGGUGGUGGUAAUGGAAAGAGAGGUCUCCACAUCUCACCCCACCCCUUCAGUAAAAAUGUACUUCCAAUUUCGAAUAUAAAACCUACUUGUAAAUUUUGAAAUGAAAUAUGUGUGAAAGUGUCAUCUGUCAGCGUAUAAUCACACCUUUAUACUUUAGGUUGAAUUUAGUGACAUUUCAUUAUGUUUUGAAAGGGGGGGAAAUAAUACAAAGAAAAUAAAUCUUUUGAAGCACAA